AUUGAACGCUGGCGGCAUGCCUUACACAUGCAAGUCGAACGGCAGCAUGGAGAGCUUGCUCUCUGAUGGCGAGUGGCGAACGGGUGAGUAAUGCAUCGGAACGUACCGUGUAAUGGGGGAUAACGUAGCGAAAGUUACGCUAAUACCGCAUACGACCUGAGGGUGAAAGCAGGGGAUCGCAAGACCUUGCGUUAUACGAGCGGCCGAUGUCAGAUUAGCUAGUUGGUGAGGUACAGGCUCACCAAGGCGACGAUCUGUAGCGUGUCUGAGAGGAUGAUCCGCCACACUGGGACGGGGACACGGCCCAGACUUCUACGGGAGGCAGCAGUGGGGAAUUUUGGACAAUGGGGGCAACCCUGAUCCAGCCAUGCCGCGUGAGUGAAGAAGGCCUUCGGGUUGUAAAGCUCUUUCGGCCGGGGAGAGAUCGCACAGGCUAAUACUCUGUGUGGAUGACGGUACCGGCAUAAGAAGCACCGGCUAACUACGUGCCAGCCGCCGCGGUAA
rnacentral:rRNA from 1 species